AGGAAGCCAGCCUUACUUCAGCAAAAGCAGGCUGUUGCUCCCAGUUAGUGAUGGCAUUGCGUGUAGGAUUUCUCCCUUUCUCUCCCCCGGGGUUGAGGUCUUCAAGGAACUGUGACAACACAAUCCCAUCCUCUUCCUCUUUUUCAUGUCCCAGAAAAAGAUGCGUUCUGUUGGAAAGUGGCAUUAACAAGCUAUGAGGACAUCCCAACUUCUAAGCGUGACACAGACUCUGUGGGAACAGUCUCCACCCUGCUUACAGAAAAUAUGCUCAUUUGUGUGACAGUUGGUAGUCACUGUCAACUUGGCUGGGAUUAGGAUCACCAUGGAAACACAGCUUUGGAUGGGUCUAGGAGACUACUUCCAGAAGAGUUAAACGGAAGAGUGAAGACCCACCGUGAAUGUGGAUGGUAUAAUCCCAUGGGUAGGGUCCGCUCUCAAUAAAAAAGACAGAGAGCAGAGCAUCAGCAUUCAUCUCUCUCUGCUUCCCGACUGCAGAUGCCAUGUGACCAGAGGCCUCCUGCUCCUGCUGCUGGGCCUUCCCAGCCAUGGUGGACUCUUAAGCCAUGAGCCGAAGUAAACCCUUUGUUCCCUAAGUUGCUGUGGUCAAGUGUUUUUUGGCACAACAACAAGAAAAGUAACUAAUACACCCAGGCACUAAACUGUGCUUUGUAAUACAUUUAUGUGUCUAUGUGAUUACUGGAUACAGGUAAAUACUGGAAGCAAUGAAAAAUAAACAUCAUUUGGACAUUUUCUAAUUCACCUUUUUUUUUUUUUAAUUGCUGGAAGGAGAAC